UUAAUUCUGGGCCGGCAGCGGGUGGAAGAAAGAGGUGGCGAGCGGUAAUCGGAAUUACUGGGCGGAAAGCGAGUGUAGGUGGCUCAUUAAGGCACAUGGGAAAUCCCCGGGCUUAAGCUGGGAACUGCAUGUGAUACUGGUGGUGCUAGAAUAUGGGAGAGGGAAGUAGAAUUCCAGGUGUAGCGGUGAAAUGCGUAGAGAUCUGGAGGAAUACCGAUGGCGAAGGCAGCUUCCUGGCAUAAUAUUGACACUGAGAUUCGAAAGCGUGGGUAGCAAACAGGAUUAGAUACCCCUGUAGUC
rnacentral:rRNA from 1 species